UGAUUGAUCUGCCUUCGGUGCUGUGGCCCGUUUGGGCGUCCCGCUUACCAGUAUCAUUGUCAUUGUUUGGUUUCCUGAGUCCUGAUAUAUCCUCGGAUAUCGAACAUCGUUUUUAAUAAUAUGGAACUUGUGUUUUCAUAAUACCGUAGUAGUUUCUUUUUGGAGUUGAAGUACCCUGAAAAUCGGGUGCUGCGUAUCGUAAAUUGGAGCAGGUUUUUGUUCCAUGGUCCUGUAAUUUACCUGCUCAUACAAUGUUAAAACCUGUCAUAUGCUGAGUACACAUGUGUUCCGUCACUUUUUUCUUGCUUGGCUAUCGUUAAGUUUCAUUCAUGAAACGUGAUUGCGCUGAGGCGUCUGGAUUUUCCUUCGUCAGUUUGAUGCACGACUUUCAAGAUUUUGAUAAUGAAGGCAAAAAUACUGCCACUUCCUUCCUUGAUGUCAUGUACUCCCUCAGUUCCUAAAUGCAGUAUAAGUCUAGACAUUCCACUUAUAUUUAGGAACAGAUUUGAAGGCACAUAGCAGCAGAUUCCAAUCGACGUCCUCAUCCAGCAAAUCCAUCGACCAGUUCCUGAAAGAUCUCAAACCUGUAAAUUACACAUCUACAGGUUUGACAGUGCCAUUGAAGUAAUAAACGCAAUUCAAAUCUAUGUACAUGAACCACCUGCCUUUUGGAUAGUAAGCUGUAAGCCCUUGGGCACAAGACACUGUAUUCCAUCGCCCCGCAGCUUUGUACCAAAGACAAAUUAGAGACGAAUGGAAAGUUGCUCAAUAACACUAAAUUAAAGGCUAGCAGAUGAUACAAGACCCCAUGUAAGAAUAUUUUGUCAGUACAUAACUCAAACACGAACAUCUUACUGAAAGCACAAGUUCUUCGAAUCAUCUUGCUCAAUGACUUAUAAUAGAAUUGGGACAGGGACACCACCAAUAGUCCAAUACUAAUGCAAACAAAGAUCUCUUUCUCUAUCCUAACAACACCACGAGAGGAAACGCCUUCAUCCGAUCAUCUAAAAAACAGAGCACCCGAGCCUAUAACAUAGGAAUCACAUGCAUGAAAGGAAAAGACUGAACCAAUCAACCCCCAAACAAAAUAGUAAGCUCACCACAAUCAUAUACUAGUAUAUACAUGUACCUUUUCAUCCGCAAGGGAACAUAAACCUACCUACGAAUUCCUCCUAAAACCAUCUUGAUCCAACUAAAAAAUUUCACAGGAGAAAACUUCAAACCGGUAUGACCUUUCCAGAAAGAAAAAUAAAUACUCAAUAAGCAAGAUGGAUGUUUUGCACAAAAACAACAAUAGAACAAAAAAGUACUCCCUCCGUCCUAAAAUAAGUGUCUCAACUACAACGGAGGGAGUAACUGAAUGACUUUAGAUCACAGGACUAUGCUUUUACGCCAUGAACAAAUAGGAGAAAAGGAUGAAUAGGCUAAUAAAUAUACACACCUUUGCAUCAACACUAUGUCUGGUUGAGAUAACAUUCAAAGACAACAACAGUGGCAUAAAAAGCCCAACUUCACACUCAUAAAUUAUUAGAUCCAGUUAGGGCACACAAUGUUUUUGAAAUGAGCACCUCUCAACCCCAACCUAGCGGCUGCACCGCAGCGGCGGCAGCCACUGCGGCCCCGUCGCACACCACCCCACCGGCCACCUGAUGGUGUCCUGGACUAGGGGGUGCUUGACACGUCUACUCCCGACCAUAUGGGAUGGCGUUCCUGGUGAGGUGCAAGGCCAACUCUGAGGCCACCCUCGGCACCUACAAGGGCGACGCCACCCUCGGCGAGGGCGCCUCCGAGAGCCUCCACGUCAAGGACUACAAGUACUGAUCUAUCUGCCUUCGGUGCUGUGGCCCGUUUUGGCAUCCCACUUUUCAUUGUUUGGUUUUCGGAUAUCGAACAUCGUUUUUAAUAAUAUGGAACUUGUGUUUUCAUAAUACCGUAGUAGCUUAUUUUUGGAGUUGAAUUACCCUGUAAAUUGGGUACUACGUAUCGUAAAUUGGAGCAGGUUUUUGUUCCAUGGUCCUGUAAUUUACCUGCUCAUACAAUGGUAAAACCUGUUAUAUGCUGAGUACACAUCUGUUCCAUCGUUUUUUCUGAUUUUAAAGGCGCCUGAACUAUUUUGGGCGUCACUCCUUCCGCUUCGCGCGAGUGGAGCGCUGGCAAGCCGUGAGCGGAAUCAAUCCUAAC
rnacentral:lncRNA from 1 species